rnacentral:lncRNA from 1 species
UGGUGGUGUUACCACUGGAGGGUUGGGUACAAAAGGUGGUGAAACGACUGGGGGUGUUGGUGCUGGUGGUUUUGGAGUGAAAGGGGGUGAAACAACAGGUGGUUUUGGAAUGACUGGUGGUGAAACAACAGGCGGUGUUGGUGCUGGUGGUUUUGGAGUGAAAGGUGGUGAAACAACAGGUGGUUUUGGAAUGACUGGUGGUGAAACAACCGGUGGUGUUGGUGCUGGUGGUUUUGGAGUGACUGGGGGUGAAACAACAGGUGGUGUUGGUGAUGGUGGUUUAGGCACAUAAGGUGGACUGACAGUGGGAGGUGGAUGUACUACUGGUGGUUUUGGGACAUAUGGAGGUUUUACAUGAGGUGGCUUGACAUGUGGAGGUCGGGGUGGAGGGCACGGU